AUUGAACGCUGGCGGCAGGCCUAACACAUGCAAGUCGAACGAGUGGCGGACGGGUGAGUAAUUUCUGGGAAACUGCCUGAUGGAGGGGGAUAACUACUUGAAACGGUGGCUAAUACCGCAUACGACCCUCUGUGCCCAGAUGGUGUUAGCUAGUGGGGGGGGUAACGGCGCACCAGGGCGACGAUCCCUAGCUGGUCUGAGAGGAGGACCAGCCACACUGGAACUGAGACACGGUCCAGACUCCUACGGGAGGCAGCAGUGGGGAAUAUUGCACAAUGGGCGCAAGCCUGACGCAGCAAGGCCGCGUGAAUGAAGAAGGUCUUCGGGUUGUAAAGUACUUUCAGCGGGGAGGCGUUACCCGAAGAAGAAGCACCGGCUAACUCCGUGCCAGCAGCCGCGGUAAUAC
rnacentral:rRNA from 1 species